CUGCGUUUUGCCACCGUCGCGGAUAGACGAAAUGAAAUUAUACUUCGUAGAAUGUUGUGUAAUACUGUGAUGUGCAGAUUGGACACUAGUGGAAAUGUUAGAAUUUUUGUGUGUGACAAGUGCGUUUUAAAAUGGGGAAUAACUUCAGCCCGGCUCACUAUAUUUUCUCCCAUUUAUUGCUGAAGUAUUCCCUCCUAGGCUCGUACAGUCUCUUAGUUAGACAAAGUACACUAUCAGGACAAAAUUUUGACUGUGUUUUCCUGUGUUCAAGUACUAAUUGGUUUGUAAUACUUAAUGUCAUUGUGUAUGCAGGUAUUGUGUACCUGGUGGCGAAUCAUGAUAGUUUUACUAACUGGCGAACCAAAGCUUUUCGUAGGACGAACCGCUCGUCCUGACCGUCUGACCUAACGCUUUUCACGAGAAUUACGCAAUAUUACUAGCCUAAUGCCUUCUAGAGGCAAUUUUUUGUGCCCCUAGCAAGAACAAGGAAGCGAAAUGAGAACGGAAAAACGCUGGAGGUGAGUAAUGCGUUCAGAAGCUGGAAUAUUCGGAAUAAUUUGUUACACCGAUAGGUCAUAGGUAUUAGGGAAUUCUGUGAAUGGAAGUUACCUAAUUGCAUUCAAGAUCGAUAUUUCACGGAACUUGUUCCGUCCCGAAAUGUCGUUCUUAAAGAAUGGUUAAGUUUCAGGAUAUUUGAUCUAAUAUGCGUGGACCUAAUAUUAAUAUUAUGAUAAGGACAUGUUUUCACAUGCAUGUGGAAUUUUGAAAGACUAUGAGAAGUAAAUGAAAUAUGCUAUUAAAUAUGAACAUUUUUUUUCACUGAGCUUUUAUAUGAGGCGGUAACUACACAUUCGCUAAUCGCUAUUUACAUACUUCAGGAAUUUGGCGUCAAACCAAACGCCAUAGGUACCUACAUUCCUGAGCCUCCUCGCACUACUGAACAGAACUCUUCCCGUCCCACGGAAGAUGGGCUUGAUGCCUUGAUCAACCGAGUGAAGAGAUAAUGUUCGUGGACCUACCUCUGCUACCGCCAGUUCAUCAUCGCCACCUCCUCGAGUCAGAAGAAACAGUGCAUGGUAAUUCUGCCGAAGCACGAGAAUUUCACCUCGAUCCCGUGGAGGACAUGGGUUCAUCCAGGUGGCAGAACUGCUUACGUCUUUGCGAAGACCACGUGGCUGCCUGCGCAAGACCAGACGUCAGCGAGGACUGCCG